rnacentral:rRNA from 1 species
CCUACGGGGGGCAGCAGUGAGGAAUAUUGGUCAAUGGGCGAGAGCCUGAACCAGCCAAGUCGCGUGAGGGAGUACUGCCCUAUGGGUUGUAAACCUCUUUUGUCGGGGAGCAAAAGCCGGACGUGUCCGGCUGUGAGAGUACCCGAAGAAAAAGCAUCGGCUAACGCCGUGCCAGCAGCCGCGGUAAUACGGAGGAUGCGAGCGUUAUCCGGAUUUAUUGGGUUUAAAGGGUGCGCAGGCGGAUUUUUAAGUCGGCGGUAAAAUCGGGGGGCUCAACCCCAUCCAGCCGUUGAAACUGGGGAUCUAGAGUGUGCGAGAGGUAUGCGGAAUGCGUGGUGUAGCGGUGAAAUGCAUAGAUAUCACGCAGAACCCCGAUUGCGAAGGCAGCAUACCGGUGCACAACUGACGCUCAGGCACGAAAGCGUGGGUAUCGAACAGGAUUAGAUACCCCAGUAGUC